rnacentral:tRNA from 1 species
GGAGGAUAAGCGAAUGGCUAGCGGCCUCAUUGGAAAUGAGGUGCUCCGUAAGGAGUUGCGGGUUCGAGCCCCGUGUCCUCCG